AAAUAUAUUUAAAGAAGGCCGAGAGUUCUAUUUGCUUUGUUGGACACUUGACUAAUAUGCGUCGCCCAACUUAAAUCUUUGCUUAAUUCGA